GGACUUUUAGCUCAGCUGGCAGAGCACCACCCUUUUAAGGUGGGAGUCGUGGGUUCGAGCCCCACAGGGUCCA
rnacentral:tRNA from 1 species